rnacentral:rRNA from 1 species
UACGAGUACCCCCAAGCGUUAUCCGGAAUCAUUGGGCGUAAAGGGUGUGUAGGUGGUCGCGUUAGUCUUCUGUCAAAAUCCCGGGCUUAACCCGGGACCUGCAGGGGAAACGGCACGACUCGAGGUUGCGAGAGGUGAAUGGAACUCAUGGAGUAGGGGUAAUAUCCGUUGAUAUCAUGGGGAACACCAAAUGCGAAGGCAAUUCGACUGGCGUAUACCUGACACUGAGACACGAAAGCGUGGGGAGCAAACAGG